UACGGAGGGUGCUAGCGUUGUUCGGAAUUACUGGGCGUAAAGCGCGCGUAGGUGGUUAAGUCAGUCAGAUGUGAAAGCCCAGGGCUCAACCUUGGAAGAGCAUUUGAAACUGCCAGACUUGAGUAUCAGAGGGGAAAGUGGAAUUCCUGGUGUAGAGGUGAAAUUCGUAGAUAUCAGGAGGAAUACCGGUGGCGAAGGCGACUUUCUGGCUGAAUACUGACGCUGAGGCGCGAAAGCGUGGGGAGCAAACAGG
rnacentral:rRNA from 1 species